rnacentral:SRP_RNA from 16 species
GUUGUCACCUGGUUGGGGCAUCGGGGUGGAGGGGUGCGCCACGGAAUACGUGGAGGCGUCCGGCAGGAUCCACUCGCUGCCUGGCGGCGCCCAGCGUGGGGUCUGUGCCCGCGCGGUCUGCGGUGGUGCAGCGGGGGCGGCCA